GACGAACGCUGGCGGCGUGCUUAACACAUGCCAGUCGAACGGAAAGGCCCUGCUUUUGUGGGGUGCUCUAGUGGCGAACGGGUGAGUAACACGUGAUUAACCUGCCCUUGACUUUGGUAUAACUUCAGGAAACUGGGUCUAAUACCGGAUAGGAGCUCCUGCUGCAUGGUGGGGGUUGGAAAGUUUCGGCGGUUGGGGAUGGACUCGCGGAUUAUCAGCUUGUUGGUGGGGUAGUGGCUUACCAAGGCUUUGACGGGUAGCCGGCCUGAGAGGGUGACAGGCAAAAUUGGGAAGGAGAUACGGGCCAGAAUACGAAGGGAGGCAGCAGUGGGGAAUAUUGAACAAUGGGCGGAAGCCUGAUGCAGCAACGCAGCGUGCGGGAUGACGGACUUCGGGUUGUAAACCGAUUUCGCCUGUGACGAAGCGUGAGUGACGGUAAUGGGUAAAGAAGCACCGGCUAACUACGUG
rnacentral:rRNA from 1 species